rnacentral:misc_RNA from 1 species
GGUAUUGCAAAUGGCUAGAAACAAUUACCAUGGGUAGACUGCCGUCCCAAUAAAUGAUGAGCGGAACAUUGGAUGGCUUGCAUUAAAGAUCCUAAAUUUCUAUGGAGACAUAGAAAUUAAUUUGAACAAAAGGAUUUCUCAUAAAUCACAUAAAAUGAAAUGAAAUGAAAAAAAAAAAAGGAAAUUUCUUGAACAGCAGACUUCUUGCUUUUGUCUUAGGCAUAAGCACAUCUUAAGCAUGAUGCCAUAAUAAUAACUUCCACUUUAGGAAGACUUCAUGUGACCUCAAUUCUCUUUUCAAAGGAGAAGGAAAAAAAAGGGGGAAAUAAAAUAACCUUUUCUCAUUGAUCUCUUCUCAUCAUUUCUC